rnacentral:rRNA from 1 species
GACGAACGCUGGCGGCGUGCUUAACACAUGCAAGUCGAACGGAAAGGCCCUGCUUUUGUGGGGUGCUCGAGUGGCGAACGGGUGAGUAACACGUGAGUAACCUGCCCUUGACUUUGGGAUAACUUUAGGAAACUGGGGCUAAUACCGGAUAGGAGCUCCUGCUGCAUGGUGGGGGUUGGAAAGUUUCGGCGGUUGGGGAUGGACUCGCGGCUUAUCAGCUUGUUGGUGGGGUAGUGGCUUACCAAGGCUUUGACGGGUAGCCGGCCUGAGAGGGGGACCGGCGACAUGGGGACUAAGAUACGGCGCAGACUCCUACGGGAGGCAGCAGUGGGGAAUAUUGCACAAUGGGCGGAAGCCUGAUGCAGCAACGCCGCGUGCGGGAUGACGGCCUACGGGGGGUAAACCGCUUUCGCCGGUGACGAAGCGGGAGUGACGGUAAUGAGUAAAGAAGCACCGGCUAACUACGUG